CAGCAGUGGGGAAUCUUGCGCAAUGGGCGAAAGCCUGACGCAGCCAUGCCGCGUGAAUGAUGAAGGUCUUAGGAUUGUAAAAUUCUUUCACCGGGGACGAUAAUGACGGUACCCGGAGAAGAAGCCCCGGCUAACUUCGUGCCAGCAGCCGCGGUAAUACGAAGGGGGCUAGCGUUGCUCGGAAUUACUGGGCGUAAAGGGAGCGUAGGCGGACAUUUAAGUCAGGGGUGAAAUCCCGGGGCUCAACCUCGGAAUUGCCUUUGAUACUGGGUGUCUUGAGUAUGAGAGAGGUGUGUGGAACUCCGAGUGUAGAGGUGAAAUUCGUAGAUAUUCGGAAGAACACCAGUGGCGAAGGCGACACACUGGCUCAUUACUGACGCUGAGGCUCGAAAGCGUGGGGAGCAAACAGGAUUAGAUACCCUGGUAGUCCACGCCGUAAACGAUGAUUGCUAGUUGUCGGGAUGCAUGCAUUUCGGUGACGCAGCUAACGCA
rnacentral:rRNA from 1 species